rnacentral:rRNA from 1 species
GACGAACGCUGGCGGCGCGCUUAACACAUGCAAGUCGAGCGAAGCGGCGGACGGGUGAGUAACACGUGAGUAACCUGCCUUAGACAUUGGGAUAGCCUCGGGAAACCGGGAUUAAUACCAAAUGGUCUAAGAUGGACUCGCGUCCCAUUAGCAGGUUGGUGAGGUAACGGCCCACCAAGGCGACGAUGUGUAGCCGGGCUGGGAGGGUGAACGGCGACAUUGGAACGAGGAAACGGUCCAAACUCUACGGGAGGCAGCAGUGGGGAAUAUUGCACAAUGGAGGGAACUCAGAUGCAGCGACGCCGCGUAAACGAAGAAGGCUUUCGAGUCGUAAAGUUCUUUUAUAUGGGAAGCGGUACCAUAAGAAAAAGCCCCGGCUAACUACGUGCCAGCAGCCGCGGUAAUUC